UACGUAGGGGGCAAGCGUUGUCCGGAAUCAUUGGGCGUAAAGAGCGUGUGGGCGGCUCGGUAAGUCCGCUGUGAAAGUCCAGGGCUCAACCCUGGAAUGCCGGUGGAAACUGUCGAGCUAGAGUCCGGAAGAGGCGAGUGGAAUUCCUGGUGUAGCGGUGAAAUGCGCAGAUAUCGGGAAGAACACCCGUGGCGAAGGCGGCACUCUGGGACGGUACUGACGCUGAGACGCGAAAGCGUGGGGAGCGAACAGG
rnacentral:rRNA from 1 species